GGCUGGAUAGCUCAGUUGGUAAGAGCCCCGGAACAGCAAUCCGGAGGUCGCAGGUUCAAACCCCGCUCCAGUCA
rnacentral:tRNA from 1 species